UUGAAUUAAUGAUCAAGAUUUAUUUUGAGUUUUUAUUUUUUUAUUUCUCUUACCUAACAACUAUUAAUUCAAUGCUUAACAAAAACUUAACUCAACACUGAAUCAUUAUCGUAUUUUACUAUCCACAAAGCAAUGCAUCCGUGUGUGGGGGCAAUAGUUAUGAUCUCCUAGGGAUGGCAUUUACUGGAAGUGUGGCCGUGGGUUUUGUUUUUUACAACUGCAGUUCGUGGGUGCCAUUUAUGGUAUAUCAAUAUUGAUAAGCGCUCUCUAUAACCUUCUUUAACAUGGGGUGGGGUAGUGUCUACAAAACUGAAAAUUUAUGGAUGGAGGCAUAGUUGUAAAGAGUCUUCCAAGUGUUUGUUAUUUUUACCGAAUGAAUAAACUUAUUUGCUUUGAAUCAUCAACGUUGUUCUAUUUGGUUAAUAUUGUAGUAUUAAUUUGUCAUGGAUUCGGGCAUAGUUAUGAACAAUCUUCCAAGUGUUUGUUAUUUUUACUGAAUCAAUAAAAUCAUUUGCUUUGAUGUUUCAAAGGCUG
rnacentral:lncRNA from 1 species